rnacentral:rRNA from 1 species
AGAGUUUGAUCCUGGCUCAGAUUGAACGCUGGCGGCAUGCCUUACACAUGCAAGUCGAACGGCAGCACGGGAGCAAUCCUGGUGGCGAGUGGCGAACGGGUGAGUAAUAUAUCGGAACGUGCCCAGUCGUGGGGGAUAACGCAGCGAAAGCUGUGCUAAUACCGCAUACGAUCUCUGGAUGAAAGCGGGGGACUCAGCAAUGGGCCUCGCGCGAUUGGAGCGGCCGAUAUCAGAUUAGCUAGUUGGUGGGGUAAAAGCCCACCAAGGCGACGAUCUGUAGCUGGUCUGAGAGGACGACCAGCCACACUGGAACUGAGACACGGUCCAGACUCCUACGGGAGGCAGCAGUGGGGAAUUUUGGACAAUGGGCGAAAGCCUGAUCCAGCAAUGCCGCGUGCAGGAUGAAGGCCUUCGGGUUGUAAACUGCUUUUGUACGGAACGAAACGGUCGCCUCUAAUAAAGGUGGCUAAUGACGGUACCGUAAGAAUAAGCACCGGCUAACUACGUGCCAGCAGCCGCGGUAAUACGUAGGGUGCGAGCGUUAAUCGGAAUUACUGGGCGUAAAGCGUGCGCAGGCGGUUAUAUAAGACAGAUGUGAAAUCCCCGGGCUCAACCUGGGACCUGCAUUUGUGACUGUAUAGCUAGAGUACGGUAGAGGGGGAUGGAAUUCCGCGUGUAGCAGUGAAAUGCGUAGAUAUGCGGAGGAACACCGAUGGCGAAGGCAAUCCCCUGGACCUGUACUGACGCUCAUGCACGAAAGCGUGGGGAGCAAACAGGAUUAGAUACCCUGGUAGUCCACGCCCUAAACGAUGUCAACUGGUUGUUGGGUCUUCACUGACUCAGUAACGAAGCUAACGCGUGAAGUGACCGCCUGGGAG